rnacentral:rRNA from 1 species
UAAGGAAUAUUGGUCAAUGGACGAAAGUCUGAACCAGCCAUGCCGCGUGGAGGAUGAAGGUCCUCUGGAUUGUAAACUUCUUUUAUCUGGGACGAAAAAAGGGAAUUCUUUCUCGUCUGACGGUACCAGAUGAAUAAGCACCGGCUAACUCCGUGCCAGCAGCCGCGGUAAUACGGAGGGUGCAAGCGUUAUCCGGAUUCACUGGGUUUAAAGGGUGCGCAGGCGGGCAGAUAAGUCAGCGGUGAAAUCCCCAAGCUUAACUUGGGAACUGCCAUUGAUACUAUUUGUCUUGAAUGCCGUGGAGGUUAGCGGAAUAUGUCAUGUAGCGGUGAAAUGCUUAGAUAUGACAUAGAACACCUAUUGCGAAGGCAGCUAACUACGCGGUGAUUGACGCUCAUGCACGAAAGCGUGGGGAUCAAACAGG